rnacentral:rRNA from 1 species
UGAGCAACCUGCCCUUGACCCUGGAAUAACAGCUGGAAACAGCUGCUAAUACCGGAUACGACCUCCGAUGGCAUCAUCUGGAGGUGGAAAGCUCCGACGGUCAAGGAUGGGCUCGCGGCCUAUCAGCUUGUUGGUGAGGUAACGGCUCACCAAGGCUUCGACGGGUAGCCGGCCUGAGAGGGCGACCGGCCACACUGGGACUGAGACACGGCCCAGACUCCGUAGGGACG